UUUAGCUCAGCGGCAUAAGCGCCUGCCUUGCAAGCAGGCAGUUGUGAGUUCGAUCCCCAUAA
rnacentral:tRNA from 1 species